ensembl:lncRNA
GACCAUCCAGCAGCCCUACCCCUUUUCCUGCCCCCCUCCCAACCAUCCCGCCCCCACCCCCACCCUGGGAACGAAAAGGAACUCAAGUGCUGGGGCCGAGAAAGGGCUUAGGGCGUCUAGGCACUCACUGGCUGGGAGGAGGGCGGUGAGCCGAGGGCAGGGGUGUUGCUCAUCUGAGACCGGCCCCUUUCCAGGGAGGGUUAGAGGGGAGGGACCACGCCCCCUGCAAAAAUGUAGCAAACGUCUGGAUGUCACAGCAGUGUGUAUGUGUAAACACAGGCCCCAAGAAUCCAGUGACUCUCCCACCACCCAGUCCUUCCCCUCAACCCAUGAGGACACAGAGCCCAAAAGGAGGGCAGCCGGCCAAGAUCACACACAGCCAGAGAGGCGGCAGCCCUCCCCCUCCCCUUACAGGGAUUUCAGGACAACUGGUCCCCGAGGCCAGGGGCCUCAUGCCCCUGCAUCACCAGGCCCGGGGAAUGAGUUCAGAGCCCGGCCGCACCCCAGCUUGGCCUGCCCACCCGCACCUUCCCCGGGCCAGGGAAACCUUGCUCAGAUCCUCUCAAUCCUCGCUGCCCCAGCCCAGACAGUGGCCUGGACUUUGAGCAGGCGGCGAGGUUACUUGUGCCAGGAAUUUCUCCCGGAUUUCUGCUGGAGUCCAACAUCUGAGCCUGGGGCUGACUCCAUCCCCAUGUCUCCCAAGUUUCUCCUACUGGGGUGUGGGUGUGAGAACAGAGGCCCUGGAAAUGGGAGGGAGUGAGCGUGUGAGCAGGUACCUGUGCAGUGUGAGCACAUGCAGAAGGCACCUGUGUGCGUGUAGCCUCGUGUGUUCAGUGACUGCAUCCAGACACCCCAGUCACUCCACCCCAGGAUUCUCAGCGGGCAGCUGCCAGAGGGCGCUCAGGCCCCCGGCUCAGCACACCCAUCAGGGAGCCUGGCAAGGAGGCACCCGCAGGCCAGAGGAGCCCAGACUCACAAAGCCCGCCCUCACAACUCCUGCCCUGUCCGUGGAGGCCUGGGACCCUGCAAUAACCUCAUCCUGGGAGAGGCUGCUCCCUCUGCCUGGCAGCACCCUACCCGCUGUCCCAGGCCACACCCUCCAGGGUCCCUUCCAGGGUUCUCGGCCAUUUGAGGGGGCUCCCUAGUGGGCCACGCUGACCAGAGGGGACCCUCUGGCCAGGAGCCCCCACUUCUCCAUUCACCCUCAUUCCCACCACGCAAAAGGGCUAUAGGUCCCCCCACCCUGCCCGGGUCCAGUUUACAGUGUGUGGUUGCCCCAGGGCCUGGUCCCCCUCCCUCCUCAGUGUGCCCGCCCAUCUAGAGACCCACCUCCCCGGCGGGCAUGGGGGCCCAACACAUGCCAGGUAAGUAGCAACCCCCCCCCUCCCACCAAGGGCCAAGCCUUGGAGCAGGGCCUGCCUCCCCAUCACUGCCCUCGCCCCAGCCCACCUGGAGCCCAUCUGGGCACCUCUCCCAGCCGCGACUUCUCCUUUUGCCUUAGGCCUCUCGACAUCCCGUCUCUCCUGCAAUAACACGGAAGCGAGAUUCCAAGUAGACACCCCUCGCGUGCGCCCUCUUUCUCUCUCUCUCUCUCUCUGUUAAGAUCCUGUUUGAGAGUCUCUCCCUUGUCGUAGUAUCUAGGAUGUUAGAGUUGGGAAGGGACCGUAGUUCUGUAGCCCAGCCCCUGUUGUCAGAGGCACAGAGGGGGGCAGCGGCAGCCUAGAGCGAAGCAGGACUGGAACCGGUUCUGUGCCCGCCCUCCGCAUCGGGGCCUUGCUGCCGCCGCCGCCGCCGCCACCACCACCACCACCUCUGCUGUGGGGGCUGGGACCCUUUGCCCCUUAGGAGAGGUGUUGGUCACAGAUGUUUACCUCAGUUUAUGUCACUGUCAAAGAACAAGUAAAUAGCAAAAAAAUGAAUCACGCCGUAGACCUGAAGACUUAGGAAAAAAAACCCUCGCGAUUCUUCUGUGCAGGUGUUUGUGUGUGCGCACACGCGCACGUGUCUCUGUCCCACCCGGGGCUGGCCGGGUCAUCCCCGACCUCUGUCCCAGCCCCGCGCCCCCUACACUGCCCCCUGUCCUUCGGUGCUUCCCAGAGGCCCCUCGGAGCUGGCCUGUGGGGUGUGGUGAGCCCCUGGGCAGGAGGCAGGGCCACAGGUUAGCUAAGCCGUCUGCCACCAGGCCAGCUGAGCAGAGCCCUAAGGCUGCCAAUGCUCCCCGGGCCCACACUGUGGCCGGUGGGACCGUCCUGGUGGCUGGUGUCAGCAUUCCAGCCUGACUCGGGGCCUGGGUGGGAUCCCAGCCCCGCAGCCCCAGACCCUCACGUUGCCACCGUCCUCCACCAUGUGUUUGUAAAUACUCUGGCAUCCUUUGGCCCUGAGAAGGUUUUUAAAUGUGUUAUUUACUUCUCUAAUCAUGACAAUUGCUAUAAAAUAAAGAAAAGUUUAGAAAAAUUA